rnacentral:lncRNA from 1 species
GGAAUUCUAAAAGAAAACAUAAAAAAAAACAUAUUUUUAAAAGGAAAAACACAAAUGGGGGAGGUGGGAUUCGAACCCCUCCCCUUGGUAAUUCAAAUCAGCGCGCCCACCACUGGGCUGUGAGUCACUUGGUGAUUCUUUUCUGCUUCUACUCAAAAUAAGCCAAACAACAAUUUUAAACCUAACAUUCGCGCGCCCUGGCACCAUCUUCCU